GAUGGCGAAGGCAGCUUCCUGGCAUCAUACUGACACUGAGGCUCGAAAGCGUGGGUAGCAAACAGGAUUAGAUACCCUGGUAGUCCACGCCGUAAACGAUGUCUACUAGUCGUUGGGUCCCUUGAGGACUUAGUGACGCAGCUAACGCAAUAAGUAGACCGCCUGGGGAGUACGGCCGCAAGGUUAAAACUCAAAUGAAUNGACGGGGGCCCGCACNAGCGGUGGAGCAUGUGGUUUANUUCGAUGCAACGCGAAGAACCUUACCUGGUCUUGACAUACACAGAAUCUUGUAGAGAUACGAGAGUGCCUUCGGGAAUUGUGAUACAGGUGCUGCAUGGCUGUCGUCAGCUNGUGUCGUGAGAUGUUGGGUUAAGUCCCGCAACGAGCGCAACCCUUGUCCUUAGUUACCAGCGGGUUAAGCCGGGAACUCUAAGGAUACUGCCAGUGACAAACUGGAGGAAGGCGGGGACGACGUCAAGUCAUCAUGGCCCUUACGACCAGGGCUACACACNUGCUACAAUGGUAGGUACAGAGGGCAGCUACACAGCGAUGUGAUGCGAAUCUCAAAAAGCCUAUCGUAGUCCAGAUUGGAGUCUGCAACUCGACUCCAUGAAGUAGGAAUCGCUAGUAAUCGCGGAUCAGAAUGCCGCGGUGAAUACGUUCCCGGGCCUUGUACACACCGCCCGUCACACCAUGGGAGUUGAUUGCACCAGAAGUGGUUAGCCGA
rnacentral:rRNA from 1 species